rnacentral:rRNA from 1 species
CCUACGGGAGGCAGCAGUGAGGAAUAUUGGUCAAUGGACGAGAGUCUGAACCAGCCAAGUAGCGUGAAGGAUGACUGCCCUAUGGGUUGUAAACUUCUUUUAUAUGGGAAUAAAAUGUUCCACGUGUGGGAUUUUGUAUGUACCAUAUGAAUAAGGAACGGCUAACUCCGUGCCAGCAGCCGCGGUAAUACGGAGGAUCCGAGCGUUAACCGGAUUUUUUGGGGUUAAAGGGAUCGUAGGUGGAUUGUUAAGUCAGUUGUGAAAGUUUGCGGGUCAACCGUAGAAUUGCAGUUGAAACUGGCAGUCUUGAGUACAGUAGAGGUGGGCGGAAUUCGUGGUGUAGCGGUGAAAUGCUUAGAUAUCACGAAGAACUCCGAUUGCGAAGGCAGUUCACUGGACUGCAACUGACACUGAGGCUCGAAAGUGUGGGUAUCAAACAGGAUUAGAUACCCCAGUAGUC